rnacentral:rRNA from 1 species
GACGAACGCUGGCGGCGUGCUUAACACAUGCAAGUCGAACGGAAAGGCCCUGCUUUUGUGGGGUGCUCGAGUGGCGAACGGGUGAGUAACACGUGAGUAACCUGCCCUUGACUUUGGGAUAACUUCAGGAAACUGGGGCUAAUACCGGAUAGGAGCUCCUGCUGCAUGGUGGGGGUUGGAAAGUUUCGGCGGUUGGGGAUGGACUCGCGGCUUAUCAGCUUGUUGGUGGGGUAGUGGCUUACCAAGGCUUUGACGGGUAGCCGGCCUGAGAGGGUGACCGGCCAAAUUGGGACUGAGAUACCGCCCAGACUCCUACGGGGGGAAACAGUGGGGAAUAUUGCACAAUGGGCGGAAGCCUGGUGGAGCAACGCCGGGUGCGGGAUGAAGGCCUUCGGGGUGUAAACCGCUUUUGGCUGUGACGAAGCGUGAGUGACGGUAAUGGGUAAAGAAGCACCGGCUAACUACGUG